rnacentral:rRNA from 1 species
UACGUAGGUCCCGAGCGUUGUCCGGAUUUAUUGGGCGUAAAGCGAGCGCAGGUGGUUUAUUAAGUCUGGUGUAAAAGGCAGUGGCUCAACCAUUGUAUGCAUUGGAAACUGGUAGACUUGAGUGCAGGAGAGGAGAGUGGAAUUCCAUGUGUAGCGGUGAAAUGCGUAGAUAUAUGGAGGAACCCCGGUGGCGAAAGCGGCUCUCUGGCCUAUAACUGACACUGAGGCUCGAAAGCGUGGGGAGCAAACAGG